rnacentral:rRNA from 1 species
GACGAACGCUGGCGGCGUGCUUAACACAUGCAAGUCGAACGGAAAGGCCCUGCUUGCAGGGUACUCGAGUGGCGAACGGGUGAGUAACACGUGGGUGAUCUGCCCUGCACUUCGGGAUAAGCUUGGGAAACUGGGUCUAAUACCGGAUAGGAACCAUCUUUUGUGUGGUGGUUGGAAAGUUUUUUCGGUGUAGGAUGAGCUGGCGGCCUAUCAGCUUGUUGGUGGGGUAAUGGCCUACCAAGGCGGCGACGGGUAGCCGGCCUGAGAGGGUGUACGGCCACAUUGGGACUGAGAGACGGCCCAGACUCCGACUAGAGGCAGCAGUGGGGAAUAUUGAACAAUGGGCGCAAGCCUGAUGCAGCGACGCCGCGUGGGGGAUGAAGGCCUUCGGGUUGUAAAAUCCUUUCGCUAGGGACGAAGCUUUUUGUGACGGUACCUAGAGAAGAAGCACCGGCUAACUACGUG